rnacentral:rRNA from 1 species
AUCAAUAAGCGGAGGAAAAGAAAAUAACAAUGAUUUCCCUAGUAACGGCGAGUGAAGAGGAAAGAGCUCAAAGUUGGAACCUGUUUGGCCUAGCUAAACCGGAUUGUAGACUGUAGAAGUGUUUUCCAGGCAAGCCGAGUAAAUAAGUCCUUUGGAACAGGGCAUCAUAGAGGGUGAGAAUCCCGUCUUUGGCUUGAGCAUUUGCCUUUUGUGAUACGCUUUCAAAGAGUCAGGUUGUUUGGGAAUGCAGCCUAAAUUGGGUGGUAAAUCUCACCUAAAGCUAAAUAUUGGCGAGAAACCGAUAGCGAACAAGUACCGUGAGGGAAAGAUGAAAAGAACUUUGAAAAGAGAGUUAAACAGUAUGUGAAAUUGUUAAAAGGGAACCGUUUGGAGCCAGACUGGCUUGUCUGUAAUCAAUCUAGGCUUCGGCCUGGAUGCACUUGCAGGCUAUGCCUGCCAACGACAAUUUGACUUGAGGGAAAAAACUAGGGGAAAUGUGGCCCACUUGUGGGUGUUAUAGUCCCUUAGAAAAUACCUUGGGUUGGAUUGAGGAACGCAGCGAAUGCUUAUUGGCGAGUUUUCCAGGAAGGUUUUCUGAGGUACUACGGUAUCAAGGUUGAUCUUUUUGGUUAUACUUCUAUUCGCUUAGGUUGUUGGCUUAAUGACUCUAAAUGAC